AGGGAAUACAAGGAGAUCCAGGAUUGCCUGGCAGAGAAGGGGAUCCUGGCAUAGAGGCCUAUCAAGGAUUUCAAGGACAGACAGGUAUAAGAGGUAUUCUGGGGUUGAAGGGAGAAAAAGGCUAUUGGGGAGAGCCAGGUCCUGAAGGUCUACAGGGAAGAUCUGGUCUUCCUGGUCCAAAAGGUAUGGCUGGAAUGCCUGGCAGACCUGGAUCAAUUGGGGCUCCAGGAGCUACAG